GGGGGAGUAGCUCAAUUGGUAGAGCAGCGGUCUCCAAAACCGAAGAUUGUGGGUUCGAGUCCUGCCUCCCCCG
rnacentral:tRNA from 1 species